GGCUCGGUAGCUCAGUUGGUAGAGCAUUGGAUUGAAGCUCCAUGUGUCGGCGGUUCGAUUCCGUCCCGCGCCA
rnacentral:tRNA from 1 species